AUUGAACGCUGGCGGCAUGCCUUACACAUGCAAGUCGAACGGCAGCACGGGCUUCGGUCUGGUGGCGAGUGGCGAACGGGUGAGUAAUACAUCGGAACGUGCCCAGUAAUGGGGGAUAACGCAGCGAAAGUUGUGCUAAUACCACAUACGCCCUGAGGGGGAACGUGGGGGAUCGCAAGACCUCAUGUUAUUGGAGCGGCCGAUGGCUGAUUAGGUAGUUGGUGAGGUAAAGGCUCACCAAGGCGACGAUCAGUAGCUGGUCUGAGAGGACGACCAGCCACACUGGGACUGAGAAACGGCCCAGACUCCUACGGGAGGCAGCAGUGGGGAAUUUUGGACAAUGGGCGAAAGCCUGAUCCAGCCAUUCCGCGUGCAGGAUGAAGGCCCUCGGGUUGUAAACUGCUUUUGUACAGAACGAAAAGGUUUCUACUAAUACUAGGAGCUCAUGACGGUACUGUAAGAAUAAGCACCGGCUAACUACGUGCCAGCCGCCGCGGUAA
rnacentral:rRNA from 1 species